CCGACGUGGCGUAGGAGACGGUCGGCGCAUCGUUGGUGCCGGUGAUGGUGACGGUGACGUCCUGGCUGAUCUUGCCGCCAUGCUGGUC
rnacentral:tRNA from 1 species